CCUACGGGUGGCAGCAGUGAGGAAUAUUGGUCAAUGGACGCAAGUCUGAACCAGCCAUGCCGCGUGCAGGAAGACGGCUUUAUGAGUUGUAAACUGCUUUUGUACGAGGGUAAACGCAGAUACGCGUAUCUCUCUGAAAGUAUCUUACGAAUAAGGCUCGGCUAACUCCGUGCCAGCAGCCGCGGUAAUACGGAGGAUUCAAGCGUUAUCCGGAUUUAUUGGGUGGAAAGGGUGCGUAGGCGGUCAGGUAAGUUAGCGGUGAAAUCCUGUGGCCCAACUUCGGAAUUGCCUCGGAUACUAGUAGGCUAGAGGGUAGUUGCGGUAGGCGGAAUGUAUGGUGUAGCGGUGAAAUGCUUAGAGAUCAGAAAGAACACCGAUGGCGAAGGCAGCUUACCAGGCUACAACUGACGUUGAGGCACGAAAGCGUGGGGAGCAAACAGGAUUAGAUACCCCAGUAGUC
rnacentral:rRNA from 1 species